GGCCGGGAGCGCGCCGGGAAGGGAGCGGGGGAGGAGGAAGAGGAGGAGUGGGAAUGGAUCCGUCUCCUUCGUCGCCUUGCUCGGGAUGUUCCUUAGUUAAGCCUAGUUAAGCACCAACAGAGCUCGAUGGACACAGCAGUCCAGCUGUGGGACACAGCUCUGAAUAAGGUGCCUGAAACACACCCCACCCCUCACGCCAAACCACCCAAACAAAUGGAUUCUGCUCUCCCUGUUUGUUGCCCAUGCUGUGUGCACUGGUGUGAGGCACUUCAACUGAGCUGUGGGCCGUGUCACCUCCCUACAGGAACACUCCUUAUCUCCUCAGAGGUAUUUCACUGGUGUUUCCCUCUUGAGCCCUAACAGCAUGGUGGCUGGAGUAGAAAGCUACAACCUAGUUUCCAUUACUGAAACUUGGUAGGAAAGUAACAAAAAUUUUAGUCAGCACAGAGGUUAAGGGGGGA